rnacentral:rRNA from 1 species
AUUGAACGCUGGCGGCAGGCCUAACACAUGCAAGUCGAACGGUAGCACAGAGAGCUUGCUCUCGGGUGACGAGUGGCGGACGGGUGAGUAAUGUCUGGGAAACUGCCCGAUGGAGGGGGAUAACUACUGGAAACGGUAGCUAAUACCGCAUAACGUCGCAAGACCAAAGUGGGGGACCUUCGGGCCUCACACCAGCGGAUGGGCCCAGAGGGGAUUAGCUAGUAGGUGGGGUAAUGGCUCACCUAGGCGACGAUCCCUAGCUGGUCUGAGAGGAUGACCAGCCACACUGGAACUGAGACACGGUCCAGACUCCUACGGGAGGCAGCAGUGGGGAAUAUUGCACAAUGGGCGCAAGCCUGAUGCAGCAAUGCCGCGUGUAUGAAGAAGGCCUUCGGGUUGUAAAGUACUUUCAGCGGGGAGGAAGGCGGUGAAGUUAAUAGCUUCACCGAUUGACGUUACCCGCAGAAGAAGCACCGGCUAACUCCGUGCCAGCCGCCGCUGUAA